GACGAACGCUGGCGGCGUGCUUAACACAUGCAAGUCGAACGGAAAGGCCCUGCUUGCAGGGUGCUCGAGUGGCGAACGGGUGAGUAACACGUGGGUGAUCUGCCCCUUACUUUGGGAUAAGCCUGGGAAACUGGGUCUAAUACUGGAUAGGACCAUGCUGUAGGUGGUGUGGUGGAAAGAUUAGUUUCGGUAAGGGAUGAGCUCGCGGCCUAUCAGCUUGUUGGUGGGGUAAUGGCCUACCAAGGCGUCGACGGGUAGCCGGCCUGAGAGGGUGGACGGCCACAUUGGGACUGAGAUACGGCCCAGACUCCUACGGGAGGCAGCAGUGGGGAAUAUUGCACAAUGGGCGCAAGCCUGAUGCCGCGACGCCGCGUGGGGGAUGACGGCCUUCGGGUUGUAAACUCCUUUCAGCCAUGACGAAGCCCUUGUGGUGACGGUAGUGGUAGAAGAAGCACCGGCUAACUACGUG
rnacentral:rRNA from 1 species